UCUUAGCCCUGAUAGAAGCGAUAUCCUUUUGUUCCGCCGCGGCGGAUAAAAAAUAAAGCGGAUAGCAGGAAAUAGC
rnacentral:sRNA from 2 species